rnacentral:rRNA from 1 species
UACGUAGGGUGCAAGCGUUAAUCGGAAUUACUGGGCGUAAAGCGUGCGCAGGCGGUUUUGUAAGUCUGACGUGAAAUCCCCGGGCUCAACCUGGGAAUUGCGUUGGAGACUGCAAGGAUAGAAUCUGGCAGAGGGGGGUAGAAUUCCACGUGUAGCAGUGAAAUGCGUAGAGAUGUGGAGGAACACCGAUGGCGAAGGCAGCCCCCUGGGUCAAGAUUGACGCUCAUGCACGAAAGCGUGGGGAGCAAACAGG